AUCAUCUGCUUUCACAAUAAAUAUAUGACCAGAAACAAAAAUAGUCUAUAUCAAUUGAGAUAAGUAACGGAAUGUGUUUGUACCCCCUCUGCGUGCAGUGAGUGUGUUAGCAUGUUAGUAUGUGUUUGUAUUGGUGUGUGCAUAUGGUUGUGUGUGAGCAUAUAUUUGUGUUUGUGUGUGCAUAUAGUUGUGUUAGUGUGAGUGUGCGCAUUUGGGUGUGUUAUCGUGUGCAUAUAGUUGUGUGAGUGUGUUCAUAUCGGUGUGUGUAAUUGUGUGCAUAAGGAUGUGUUUGUGUGUACAUAUAGUUGUGAGUGUGCACAUUUGGGUGUGUAAUUGUGUGCAUAAGGAUGUGUUUGUGUGCAUAUAGUUGUGUGAGUGUGCGCAUUUGGUGUGUUGUGUGAGUGUGCAUAUGUGUGUGAUUGUGUGCAUAAGGGUGUGUGCAUAUAGUUGUGAGUGUGCGCAUUUGGGUGUGUUAUUGUGUGCAUAUAGUUUUGUGAGUGUGCGCAUAUCGGUGUGUGCAAUUGUGUGCAAAAGGAUGUGUUUGAGUGUGCACAUUUGGUGUGUUGUGUGCAUAUACUUGUGGGAGUGUGCGCAUUUGGUGUGUUGUGUGAGUGUGCAUAUGUGUGUGUGUGUGAUUGUGUGCAUAAGGGUGUAUGCAUAUAGUUGUGUGUGUGCAUUUUGGGUGUGUUAUUGUGUGCAUAUAGUUGUGUGAGUGUGCGCAUAUGGGUGUGUUAGUGUGAGUGUGUGCCUAUGGGUGUGUUAGUGUGUGCAUAUAGUUGUUAGUGUGUGAAUGCGCAUAUGGGUGUGUUAGUGUGAGUGUGUGCAUAUGUGUGCGUGUGUGCAUACGGGUGUGUGAGUGUGUGCAUACGGGUGUGUGAGUGUGUGCAUACGGGUGUGUGAGUGUGUGCAUACGGGUGUGUGAGUGUGUGCAUACGGGUGUGUGAGUGUGUGCAUACGGGUGUGUGAGUGUGUGCAUACGGGUGUGUUAGUGUGUGAAUGCGCAUAUGGGUGUGUUAGUGUGAGUGUGUGCAUAUGGGUGUGUGAGUGUGUGCAUAUGGGUGUGUUAGUGUGAGUGUGUGCAUACGGGUGUGUGAGUGUGUGCGCAUAUAGUUGUGAGUGUGUGCAUAUGGGUGUGUUAGUGUGUAGUGCAUAUGGGUGUGUGAGUGUGAGCAUACGGGUGUGUUAGUGUGUGCAUAUAGUUGUUAUUGUGUGAAUGCGCAUAUGGGUGUGUUAGUGUGAGUGUGUGCAUACGGGUGUGUGAGUGUGUGCAUACGGGUGUGUGAGUGUGUGCAUACGGGUGUGUGAGUGUGUGCAUACGGGUGUGUGAGUGUGUGCAUACGGGUGUGUGAGUGUGUGCAUACGGGUGUGUGAGUGUGUGCAUAUGGUUGUUAGUGUGUGAAUGCGCAUAUGGGUGUGUUAGUGUGCGUGUGUGCAUAUGGGUUUGUUAGUACAUAUGGGUGUAGCAAAGAGAAAGUUAGGAGCACCGGGUUUAGCAUAAAACAAGUAACUUUAUUGGCAUAACAUUAAAACAAAAGGGUAAACAUAUAACCCUCGGAUAAGAACUGAGAUUUUAGGUAUUUAGAGCAACACAGGCUGACAUGUUUCGGCAUAACGCCGCACUGCAAGCCUUAGAUAAAACAAUUUACUGUGGUUUACUUAAAAUCAAUCCCCACGUUCCUAUUGGUAAGAACGUACACACCUCCUAUUAAUUCUGACCAAUCGGAUACCUUUUGUGAACAAAGUCCCUCCUCUCAAUGGUGCUGAAGUAAAGGCACCAAUUAAAAAUAUAUGUGAUUCUUUAUUGUAUAUGGUCUACAGAGCUAAAAUGCACUAAUAUCGGCUCUAGACCCUUUAUAUUAUGUCACUUCCAUAGGCACAUUUUAAAACUGCAGAUGUGUCAUGAGGACCGCCAAAGUACUAGUAGACUUAAAGAGUGGGAAAAAUUCAGGGUAAUCUUCAGCACUCAACUGCAGUUUUGAAAGUACUGCUACAGCAGAGAAAAUUCACUAUGUUUCCCAUUCUCAAUUGCUAAUACUCCUUUUAAAAUGUAGGGAUUACUGUAGGAACCACAUAGGUACAAAUAUUGAGGGUAAUGAGGGAAAAUAGUUUCCUGCAAUUGACUAUAAUUCCCUCAUCCUGAAAAUCCUAAGUGUACCCAUGAGUUCAUUUGAAGUGUAGAAUAAGCUACCCUAGGAUGGGUACUCUAUUAGAAUGUACCAAUCAUAAAACAACUACAAAUAAUGUGAAACGAACACUAGCCAUUGAUAAAACUAAUAAUAAUGAUAAAAAGAAUGUGGGUUCAUAUAAUGUCCAGUUCUUAAAGACCCGCCUAAAAGCGAGUUAUGGACUAUCUUACUGAGUUAGGUUAAUACAUUUUUUAUAUCUUAUAUCCCUUCAGUCUCAAAGGACCUCCACUUUUGUUCAUCAUAAAUUAAUGAGGUCAAAUUCGGAGUUGAGGCUUCCUGGUAUCCUUGUCUUUAACCUAAAUAUCCAGUAUGCCUCCCUUUCUGCUAGUUUCCUAGCCCUGUUACCCCCUUUGUUGACUGGUAGGACCUUCUCUAUUAUGUUCUACCUAAUACUCCUCACAUCCUUAUCAUGAAAUUGUGAAAAAUGUUUGCUAAGUGGUGUGGUGAUAGUACUUGCUCUAAUAUCUGCAAAGUGUUCCUUACUCAUGACCCUUGCUUCUCUGGUAAUAAGACCAACAUAUUGGAGUUCACAUUGAGUACAAGAAAUUAAGUAUAUAAUGUAAGUAGAGCGACAAUUUAAACAUAGGUUAAUAUAGAAUUUUUCCUCUGUGACUGAGGAGCUAAAACUGUCACCCAGAUUGGCUUUAGCACAAGCUACACAAGCUGUGUAGUUGCAACGGUAAAUUCCAUUGAAUCUUAGCCAAGAGGAGUUAUCCUCCACCUUUGUUUUUAAUCUCGUUGGGGCCACUCUAUUGCCUACCGUUUUACCCCUCUUAUAAGCAAACUUAAUCCCUUUCUCCACUGUGGUUUGGAGCCCAUCAUCAGCUGGAGUAAUGUAAAGUGUUUCCUAACUAUCAUGCAAAUUUUGGGAUAUUUUUGCGAGUAUUCAGUCAUGAAUACAGUCUUUUCGUCUGUUUUCACUUGGGGGGUUAUUUUGUUGUUUCUUGUUCCCACUUAGAAGUCUGGCCCUGUCUGCUCUCCUUUCUGUAAGUAUGGUGGCCAUAUUAUAACCUCUCACUCUCACUCUCUCUCUUAAUCUCGCUGUCAGGUCAUCCGCCUGUUUUUCAUAGUUAACCUCAUUGGUACAAUUUAUUUUCUGGCGUAUGAACUGACCCCUAGCCACACCUCUGAAGACUAUCUGUGGAUGGCAACUAAAGGCAUGAAGGAGAGAGUUUCCUAAGAUGGGUUUACGGAAGACUUCAGUCUCAACAUGUUUGUUUGGGAUCCCUUUCAAUGUCAAAUCAAGAAAGUUGACCACUGCCCUGUGGGACUCAGAUGUAAAGCUUAUACCAGCUUCAUUAAUGUUCAGGCCUGAGACGAAUCUCUUCAGAUCGUCCUCAGAGCCCCUCCAAAUGAAGAAAUCAUCUAUGAAGCGCCUAUAUCACAAUAUUUCUUUUCUGAAGGGGUUUUCCUCCCCAAAGAUGUGGGACAGCUCCCACCAAAAUUACAAAGUGAGAAGAAGUAAGGGACUCGAAUAGCACUAAUUUCUAUUACUAAAGUAAGCAACGUAAACAUAAACUUUAAUCGUAUAAUUAAUAAAAAAAGAGAGAAGCACUGACCGCAUAACAUUACACCCACUCCCAGUAAAAACCGUUGGUCACUCCCCUGUUUCUUGACCGAUUACUGGAAGCGUGGGCUUCAGGUGGCAGAAGUGACUCACAUGGUACAAAGUGGCAACAAACGCGUUUCCUCUGUUACCUGGCCUUUCCUAAUGUUGUAAUUACUAGAAAUGAACAAGCCGAAGCUUAGUGGAUUAUCGCCUUUUAAACGCGAAUAUAUUUCCACAUAGCCAAUGGGAAAUGGUUUAAAAUGUCACACCCAUUCAGAAACCAAUGGUAGCGAUAGCAAUCAACCAACACAUUCCUAAUAGACCAAUGUGGUAAUACCGGCAUGCUGUGUCGUAGGCAGUAGUAGCAGCUGAUAGGAUGUGUGUCUGUAAACAUAAACAAUUGCCUAUAUUGAAACGCUCCGCUGUUCUUAUCUAAACGAACAGGAAAUAGUGUCAGGAACCCCUCCACACUAUGUGUACAAACAGCACAUUAUAUAUAGACAGACAAUAUGAGAUGACCAAUGCAAAGUUUCAUUCAAAAAGAGGGCGAAUAGAAAUAAUUAGUUAUGUAGUAGGUGUACUAUAAUGUCAUGAUACAGCUUAAUUUAUUUCAGUAACCUCUUAUUCAAAGAGAAAUAAAUAUAUCCAUACCUUGUGGAUCUAGUGUUAUUAUUAAAUAACGAUGUAUAAUGGCUGUGUCUUUACAACUCAUGUGCUGUAUGGUCACAAACAUGUUAACCGUGCACGCGAGAGUACCUAUUGUUAGCUACAAUAUACCAAUACGGAGCUACACAUCGUUAUAUAUUGAAAAAUAUCAACUGAAGAACAAAAAGGAUAUAAUUAGUUUACCUAUUUUAACUUUUACGUCUGACGGGCAUAUAAACCAUAUGUAUUUAAAUGAUAGUCAUAUUGCUAAGUAUAUGUCACUGCAUACAAAUAAAACAUCUUAAAUAUAUCUACUCUAAUACAUCGCCUCAUAAUUCCCCACCACUAGGGGCUAGGAAUUAGUCAUGCUGAACUAGUUAAAGGGACAUACACUCAAAUCACAGUGUGGAACAGAAGGGCUGUAACGUCUCCCAUCUCGUCCUCCAUUACUGUAUGGUGUAAAUUAGUCAGUGACUUAUAUAUCGGUUACACCGUAUCGAUACCCUUUUACAGUGUGCAGGGAAUUUAAAUCACUACUGAUAUACAGUUUCCAGUACGGUUAUAACCAUUACUACUAUCAAUGUGACACAUUAAAUCCCUCUUAGAGGGUAUAUGAUUUAGCUUUGGUGUAACCUACUUCACGUUAGAUCUAUUAUCAUCAAUAGUUGUUGUUCUUGUUCAUACCAUGGGGCAUGACUGAGUUAAUAUUAAAGACCCAUUUAGUCUCCA